GCAGGUCGAACGGCAUCUCAGGAGAGCUUGCUCUCUGGGUGGCGAGUGGCGGAUUGGUGAGGAAUACAUCGGAAUCUACUUUUUCGUGGGGGAUAACGUAGGGAAACUUACGCUAAUACCGCAUACGACCUACGGGUGAAAGCAGGGGAUCUUCGGACCUUGCGCGAUUGAAUGAGCCGAUGUCGGAUUAGCUAGUUGGCGGGGUAAAGGCCCACCAAGGCGACGAUCCGUAGCUGGUCUGAGAGGAUGAUCAGCCACACUGGAACUGAGACACGGUCCAGACUCCUACGGGAGGCAGCAGUGGGGAAUAUUGGACAAUGGGCGAAAGCCUGAUCCAGCCA
rnacentral:rRNA from 1 species